rnacentral:antisense_RNA from 1 species
CUUGAUCGAACCGAGCCACAACGGGUCGUCGUGUCGGUCCUGGCCGUACGUGGCGAUCAACGCCUGCGCCUC